AGCCAGUGUCCCGCGCUGCGCCUGGCCCCGAGCUCCGGCCCCGGCUUCCCUGUCCGUCCGGUCGCCCUGAUGGUCCCUCGAAGAGAAUUGGGUCGCCUUUGAAACAAUCCUCUGCCCCACCUCCUUGGAAAAUUGAUUUGGGAGUUGGGAAAUGGAGGCUUUCUUUUUUUCUUCCUUUCCUUCUUUAUUAUUAAUAUUUUGUAAAGCUUCAGUGCUAAGAGGAGUGGCCCCGAGCAAGGCCAGACUGCGCGGACGGCGGGGAGCGCAGCGGCUCCUCCCGGGUACGGCGCCAGCCGGCAGCGGCCGCCCGGGGACUCCGACGGUCGGCAGAGGUCUUGCUAAGCUGCUGAGGCUGGCCUUGAACUUGUGACUCUCUGACCUCACCCUCCCCAGUACUUGGGAUCAUAGAUGUGCACCACUGUGCCUGGCUUGAAAUAAAUUAAAAAAAAAAAAAAAGAUCAAAUACAUCAUGAGUCCUGAUUCCCAAACUGGGAAGCAACCCAGAUGUCCUUCAACAGGACAUGAAUCAUCCCUGGGUCCAGUGUAUCCACACGGUAUAUGCUACCCACUGGUUAGUCACUUAAUCACCAUUGUGAUGAUCAGAUUCCCUGUCAUGGCAUUGCAGUGCUUGUGCUUGAAUACUCUGUGCCACAAUGCCUACUUCAUUCACCACCCCCCCCUUCAUCUUGUCACUAGCCAUUGUCUCGUCACACAUCAUCACAAGAAGGGUGAGCACAGUAAAGAUAUUUUGAGAGACCACAUUCAUAUCACUUUUAUUACAGUCUGUUGUUCUGAUUGUUCUACUUUAUUAUUAGUUAUUACUGUUAAUUUCUUAUUGUGCCUAAUUUAUAAGUUAUUCAUUUACAAAUUAAACUCUAUCAUAGGCAUUCAUGGGGGGAAAAUUAUUUAUACACACACACACGUGUAUAUUUCAGUACUAUCUGGAGUUUCGGGUAUCUGCUGGGGCUCUUGAAAUGUAUCCCAUGGAUAAGGGGUCACUAGUGUAUAAGGUAGAUAAAUGUCCUUAUGUAUUUGUCAAAACCCAUAGAAACACAGGGUUCACACUCAGGUAAAAUUUAACUUCAGUUAAUAAUAAUGUAUCAAUAUUGGCUCACAUUGAUGGAAGAAGUUAACAGUAGGGGAGAGGGAGGAGAAGGAAUAUAUGGAAACUGUAC